CUUAUUAACCUUUCUUGUCUGCUUUUUCAAUGGUCAGUGAAACAGGGUACUUUGAAGAGAGCAAAAGUAUUGAAUGGAUGCUAGAGAAAAUAGGCACUUAGAAGUAAGUGAGAGAUGCCCUAGAAAAGUUUAUUCCAAGUCUUUUUUAAUCCCCUUCAUUUUCUGUUUUUCAGAUGGGAAUCCUACUAUGUUGCCCAGGCUGGUUUCAAACUAUUGGACUCAAGCAACCUUCCUGCCUCAGCCUCCAGAAUAGCUGGGAUGACAGUCAUGCACCACAGUGCCCAACUCCAAAUCUUUUGAGAAGUGUUUGGGACUGAGACUUCAGGGAGAAAACACGUUUCAUAAAAGUGAUGCAACCAAAACACUUUAUUAACUACUCUUCUUUCUUCUGUCUUCUAUUUAUAAGAGAAGUUGCAAUAAAACAGGCUCCUACAAAGACCGAUAUUGAACAUGUACCUUUUAAAAGGUUCUGAGGCAUCAGUGUAGACUCAAUUUCACCUCUACCCUUCUGUCCACAUCUCCAAUCCCAGAUGGUGAGAGUCCAUGCCUGUGGUAACUUCUGGUCAGAACCCAGAAGGUUGAAUUCCUUGCUCUGUGCUUGCUAAGAUGGGAAAAUAGACUCUUCUUUUGAGAGAAAUCUCCUGAUUCUAAGAGAAACAUAAAGGAUUCUUUUUUUUUCUCAAGUUAAUAUUCAGUUCAUAAAAAUGGAGUUUAGGAGAAAUUCUCCAAGCUUUGAAUUUUUGAAUCAAUUUAACUUUUACUACAAAAGCAAAUCUGAAACCACAAAUUAAUUGGGGAAGAAGGGACACACUUCACUAAGGAUUUUUUACUUAGCUAGAGACGCUGUUGUGGUGCUUCUUAAAUCAGAGAGUAUUUCUGGUACCUUAAAAUCAUUUCAUUCUGUGAAAGAGAACAUUCUGGCUGGGCAUGGUGGGGCACACCUCUAAUCCCAGUUGCUUGGGAGGCCGAGGCAGGAGGAUCACAAGUUAAAAGCCAGCUCAACAACUUAGUGAGACCCCUUCUCAAAAGAAAAGAAUUAAAAGGGGUGGGGGUGUGGCUCAGUCGUUAGGCACUCCUGGAUUAACUCCUCAGUACAAAAAAGAAGGAAAAAAAGAAAGAAAGAGAGAACAUUCAAUUUGUGAAGUCUGGCACAAUAUACCUGGCCACUUGAGAUCCCUGGAACUGACAUCAUGUUAAUUCUGGGAGGGAAUUUGAGUCUCCACUCUUCACUUUAGAAAGGAAGAAACUGUGGCCUGGAGAAAUUUCCUGACUUUUCACAGUGCAAAGUCCAGUGUCCAGUUUUCUCCCAUUACUGUGCCUCAUCUUGUGUCCAAGAUCUGGGACUCCUAGUUGGAACUCGACCUGGUCCUCAGCUGCCGUCAAGGAUGCUUAGUCAGUGAUCCCCUUUUUGGAUUUCAUUUGUGCUGUUUCUUUGUUUUAUUAUGGAAAACUUUCAAACAUUGAAGUAGAGAAUAUACUCUAGCUCACUCCCAUGCACCCCUCACCUGGCUUCUACAGUGAUUAACUACAGCCAAUACCCAACCCUGUUUCCCCUCCAGCCAGAUGAUUUUAAAGCAAAUCCAAACCUCCUAUCAUUUCAUCUGUGACUACUCCAUGUGUAACUGUGAGCAAAACCUCUGAUACAUACAUGAAUAUCUGCAAUCAUAAUUUAAAAAUCAACAAUAAUUCCUUAGUCUCAUUGAACUUCCCAUAUUCUUUGUCUCUUCUUCUCUGUCUCUGUGUCUGCCCCCCACUCUGUAACUAGUUUGUUAGAAUCAAAAUCCUAACUCAGAGAUCAGGUCAGGUUAUCAGGCGGGACCACUGUCUGGUCAUUCAAAGUCCUUACAUGAGAUUGUUUGCUGUACUAAAAUACAGAAUAAGGACACUUUGCCUGAACUGUAGAGUACGCUCAUAAAUGCCUUCAUGUUCCAUAAGCUUCUUUGAACAUAACAUGCAUGUCAGAUAGGGUAGAUAGGUCAUGUGCCUCUGACACAGGAAAAAUGAGGUCCA
rnacentral:lncRNA from 1 species